AGCGAACGCUGGCGGCAGGCCUAACACAUGCAAGUCGAACGAACCCUUCGGGGUUAGUGGCGGACGGGUGAGUAACACGUGGGAACGCGCCUUUAGGUUCGGAAUAACUCAGGGAAACUUGUGCUAAUACCGAAUGUGCCCUUCGGGGGAAAGAUUUAUCGCCUUUAGAGCGGCCCGCGUCCGAUUAGCUAGUUGGUGAGGUAAUGGCUCACCAAGGCUACGAUCAGUAGCUGGUCUGAGAGGAUGACCAGCCACAUUGGGACUGAGACACGGCCCAAACUCCUACGGGAGGCAGCAGUGGGAAAUCUUGCGCAAUGGGCGAAAGCCUGACGCAGCCAUGCCGCGUGGAUGAUGAAGGUCUUAGGAUUGUAAAAUCCUUUCACCGGUGAAGAUAAUGACUGUAGCCGGAGAAGAAGCCCCGGCUAACUUCGUGCCAGCCGCCGCAGUAACAC
rnacentral:rRNA from 1 species